GGGUCCAUUGCUUAGUUGGUAAAGCACAAGGCUCUUAACCUUGUGGACGUAGGUUCA
rfam:Triticum aestivum genome assembly, contig: Triticum_aestivum_CS42_TGACv1_scaffold_569879_7AS